rnacentral:lncRNA from 10 species
CAGGCUGCCUAUUAGAAGACAGAAACUCCAUACGCGUCAUACACCUGCACCCGGGAGGAAAGGCGAGGCUCUGCAUCUAGAUUUACCUCGUUCUCUUUUGUCUCCGCUUUUUUUUCACAUUUCCUUGCGACCCUGGCCCUUGAGCGACAAAAAGGGGAAGCCAAGGCUGGCCCGAGGAACGGAGAGGGCACAUGGCCUAGCCACAAGUGGAGCUUCUGCUCCGCCCGAAGGGAUGCGCUGGAGCGGCCUCUUCCUUCUGCCACGGUCUUUCUUUGCCAACUAGUAGGUGAGGGCCGAAAGGCCGCGGGCCGUGGAGCUCGGGCCGGGGAGACUCUUUUCUAGCCUCUUGGGUCCCGCUCCUCCCAAUUCCCUGGAGAGGCGUCGAGCUUGCUGGGAAGUGCCCUCGGGUAAGGGGCGCGGAGCCUCCUGCGGCGAUCCUCUGUCUUCGGGUCGCCUUAGCAGGACGCGGCAAGCGGGACACUGACCUGGCCGGAGUCCCGCGUUCUCUCACCAGCUGCUUUGUCCACGAGUUGCUGCUGGGCGUCAGGGGUCCCACGGCCCGGAGGGAUCUAGAGCAGGGGGGCUCGGGGUCCUUUCCAUACCCUCGGAUCCUCUCCCACUCUCUCCACGCCUCGACCCGGAGAUGAUUUCAGGCUCCAGAUCUCUUUCAUAAAUGGAAAGAGUUUUUUUGGUUUGUUUUGUCUUAAUUAUGUAGGUGUUGCAUGCUUGGAAGAGAAAAUUUAGAAAAUUAAUUGGAAAACCAUAAAGAUAGCUUUCUCGUGAUAGCCACAAGGCUUGCUCCCUCAUUCUGCUCAUAUGUCACCCCCUCAAGGAGGCCUUCCCCAGCUCUGUAAACAACCUGUGCUCGGCGUUAACUUUUCUCCCUAAUGUUUAUCACUACCUGACAUAUACGUGUUUCCCACGACUCAACGAUAAGUGUUCAUGAGGGCAGACACUUUUUAAUGCCCUAUGACAAGCACCUAGAAUUGUGCCUGGCACAUGGUAGAUGCUUAGUAAAUAUUUGUUUAAUGAAUGAAGGUAAAAAACAUUUCUAAUACGACCAUCCAGGAAUAAGUACUAUUCAUGUUUUAGUGUGUUCUUACAGUUUUACUGUUCAGACAGUUAUAUGCCUGUGAAUAUAUAUUAUAUAUGUGUGUAUAUAUAUAUAUAUAUAUAUAUAUAUAUUUUUUUUUUUUUUUUGAGACAGAGUCUCGCUCUGUCACCCAGGCUGGACUGCAGUGGCGCGAUCUUGGCUCACUGCAACCUCCGCCUCCUGGAUUCAAGCGAUUCUUCUGCCUCAGCCUCCCGAGUAGCUAGGAUUACAGGCAUGUGUCACCACGCCCGGCUAAUUUUGUAUUUUUAGUAGAGACGGGGUUUCUCCGUGUUGGUCAGGCUGGUCUCGAACUCCUGACCUCAGGUGAUCUGCCCGCCUCGGCCUCCCAAAGUGCUGAGAUUACAGACGUGAGCCACCGUGCCUGGCGGAAUUUUCAUAUUUUAAGUCCCCCACCCUUGGACAUUUAGAUUUUUUCCAUCUUUCUGUAUUUGCAGAUAUGCUUCUACGUACACCUUUAUUCAUUUGCUUGAACAUUUCCCUGAGAAAAACUAGAAAUGGAAUUGCCAGAUUACUUUGUGUACAUGUUUCCAAACUGUCCUCCAGAAAGAAUGUAAUGCUUUGAACUUCCACUUGAGAAUCAAAUGUUUACCUUCCUCUGUUCCUCCAGAUUUGGACAUUUACAGUGUUCAGCCGUUGUUGUGGCAUUCCAAUUCAAUUGGGAAACAGCUUGAUGUAGCGUCCCCAUAAGGUCCACAGUAAUUAAAUUUUUUUUUUUUUUUUUUGGUGCGGUAGUGCAAUUUCAUGGCUCACUGCAACCUCCACCUCCCAGGUUCAAGCGAUCCUCCCAUCUCAGCCUCCCUAGUAGCUGGGAUUACAGGUGCACGCCACCACACCAGGCUAAUUUUUGUAUUUUUAGUAGAGAUGGGGUUUCACCAGGUUAGCCAGGCUGGUCUUGAACUCCAGACCUCAAGGGAUCCGCCUGCCUCAGCUUUCCAAAGUGCUGGGAUUACAGGUGAGAACCACUGCACCCAUCCUAUUAAACUUUUAAAUCAUGAUAGUUACCAUGUAUAGAGUGUUUAUAUGCCAGGCAUUGAGCUAAGUCUUUUACGUCUUGCGCUCAUUCUGUGCAACAGCCCAAUGGGAGAAAUUCCAUGAAUAUAGUUACCAUUUCCUUGAUUUCUAGAGAAGCUGGAUAUGUUUUCUUUUUUUCCAGUAUUAUUUCUAUUUAUCCUUUUGUGAAUUGUCUGUUGUUAUUUUCAUUGGAAUAUUCUCUUUUUUUGACAGAGUCUCACUCUGUUGCCCAGGCUGGAGUGCAAUGGCACGAUCUCGGCUCAUUGCAAACCUCUGCCUCCUGGGUUCAAGCAAUUCUCCUGCCUCAGCCUCCCAAGUAGCUGGGAUUACAGGCACCCGCCACCACGCCCAGCUAAUUUUUUGUAUUUUUAGUAGAGACGGGGUUUUGCCAUGUUGGCCAGGCUGGUCUCGAACUCCUGACCUCAGGUGAUCCACCCAUUUCGGCCUCCCAAAGUACUGGGAUUACAGGUGGAGACUGGACCUCAGAAGAGGGAGUGGGUGCCCCGAGAACUCACAGCUAGCGGACAGUGGAAAGGGCAGGAGCCGGACCAAGUGUUCAUCCAUCGCCCUGUAUUAGCGAAGAACAACAUCAAGCUGGCUAGCAAGGAACUGUAUACAGGGUCCAGCUGGGUAUCACACUGGAUCUCACCCAAAGCUUAGAUGUGAUCCAGCUCAGUAUCACAAAGCAGAACGAAAAGGAUGUGUUUGGGCUGAGAGGCCAUACAUUGGCUCCGGCAUGACGGGUGACUUCUUCCGAGUCUGGCUUCUGCAGCACACAGGGCUUCGCCAGCACCCAGCUCCUGCAGCAUGGGCAGCUCCUGUGACAGCAGGCGCCCGCAGCCUGCAAAGCGUCUCCAGUGCCGCCGCCUCAGUGAACCUCAACCAGCGGCACCUAGCAGCUUUCUCUGCCACCCUCUUCAGGUAGUUCUGUAGCAGCGCGUUUCUCAUGAGACACUUCCCUGUGAGCAGCUUUUUCUACCCUUGAGGAUGGAUUUCCAGCAAAUUCUGCCCAUGUGGUACCACAGCCACUUCUCUGCCAUUCAGUGAAACUGCCGUUGUGCCCUCUUCAAGGUCUGGAUCUAAGCCCAGGGACCAGGAAACCUCUUGCUUGAGUGCUGGAACUCAGGCCAGAAGGCAGGAAGCCCGCCUGACCCCAUGUCUCAGGCUGCCAGAGGAGCGUGCGAUGAGGAAGGCUGGACUGUCUUCACAGGACACCAGGGAGAAGCCUCAAGCCACUGCCCCCUGACAAGUCGCAGCUCUCCAGCCUGUCUCCUCACUCCCCUCCCCUCCACAUGGGGGGGUUGGGGUGGGGGCGGGGAAGGUUCGGGGCAGGGGUCAUUUCAGCUACUGGGCACCAGUCUCCUCCUCAUGUUUAUCCUGUUCCCUUUGCUUGAAAGGUUCGUACUCCAGAUCCUUGUAAAACCGCUUCUCACCCUUUGAGUCUCAGCUUAAAUGUCCCCUCCUUGGAGGGGUCUUCCCUGACAAUGAAGCUCCGACCGUCCUCUCCUGUUUUACCCAGUUCAUUUCUUUCUGGCAUUUGUAACUACUUGAAGUUAAAGUGUGUGCCAUGUAUGUGUCUGUCAGUUUCCCCCACCACACUGGAACCCCAUGAGGGCAAGGGUCUUGUCUGGAAUCUUCCUCACUUACAACUCAACAUUUAGCAAAGGACCUUUGCUAAAUUAACAGGCAUUCAUUUUGUAUUUGAAAAAUGAACUAGUGAGGCCGGGCGUGGUGGCUCACACCUGCAAUCCCGGCACUUUGGGAGACCGAGGCGGGCUUGAGGUCAGGAGUUCGAGACCGGCCUGGCCAACAUGGUGAAACCCCAUUAAAAAUACAAAAAUUGGCUGGGCGCGGUGGCUCACGCCUGUAAUCCCAACACUUCGGGAGGCUGAAGCGGGCGGAUCACGAGGUUAGGAGUUCAAGACCAGCCUGACCAACAUAGUGAAACCCCAUCUCUACUAAAAAUACAAAAAUUAGCCGGGCAUGAUGGCAGGCGCCUGUAAUCCCAGCUACUCGGGAGGCUGAGGCGGAAGAAUCGCUUGAACCAGGAGGUGGAGAUUGCCGUGAGCUGAGAUCACGCCACUACACUCCAGCCUGGGCAACAGAGCACGAAUCCAUCUCCGAAAAACAAACAAAAAAACGAAUGUGUGAGGAACGCAGCAAAGCCCCUACAGUUAACGUUUGCCGCCCUCUGCCCCUCAG